CACCUCACAGCCACCGGCUGCCCGUAUUUGCCCCGGGCGCCUGGCAACUCUGACAGCCCGCUGAGUGGUCCAACCCCUUCUCCGACGCCUGGGGACGCUGACCUGGCCAGGGGAAGGGAGAGGGAACCAGUCCUUGGUGUAAUCACAUUUUACUCUGCUGGGAAGGCGUAUUCAUCGUCCCACCGAAACGCGCCAUAGACUGGAUCAGGCCUUUGCUCAUCAUCGUUUCAAAAAAAGUUAACUGAAGGAAAGAAAGGAAGAAGGCAGGAGGAGCGAUAAAGAGAUAGCAAGAGAAAGAGGAUGGAAAGGGAGGGAAAGGAAUAGAUUUCUAAAGGUUAGGAAAGCCUUUUAGCAGGGAGAUGUUUUCCUGGAGGUCUUGGAACUCUUGGUCUCACAGCCUUUGUAAACUGAGGGCUGCACACCUGUCUUUAGUCCCCAGCUGAUUUCCAGAUGCCCUUCCAGCUCGUGUUGAUUCUUCUGUCUCGAAUCACUUCUAGCAGACAAGUACCAUCCAGCUGACCCUGGUAGGCACGUGGCCACAUAGUACGGAUUGCAUGAGGCUCCCACCAGGUGCUAUGAUUCCGGCUUUUGUCAGAUGACCCAAACUCUUGGUUCCAAGCAAUUCCUGCAGUUUAGAUGUGGUAGGGGCUUCCUAUUAUUGCCAAUCUCUAGAUUACCUAUGUCCCCUGUUUGGCCGUCAGCUCUUUCGUCACCUCUGUAACUAUUCCCUGCAUUAAAAUCUUAGUUUUACACACGUA